rnacentral:rRNA from 1 species
AUGGGGUAUUACCUUGCAGAUGGUAUCUAUCCACGGUGGGCAACAUUUGUGAAGAGCAUACCAGCUCCAACUAGCAGAAAGCAUAAAACUUUUGCCAAGAAGCAAGAGGGGGCUAGGAAAGAUGUGGAACGAGCCUUUGGAGUUCUGCAAUCCCGUUUUGCUAUUGUUCGUGGACCUGCUAAAGGAUGGAAACGUAAAGAAAUCACUGAUGUCAUGAAAGCUUGUGUCAUAAUGCACAAUAUGAUAGUUGAAGAGGAGCGACAAACUGGUCGGCAAAGCUGCACUUUUGAGGCAAUGGGAGAAAGAGUCACAGUCUCUCGUACUCAUGCGGAAGAACUGAGCUCUUUUAUUCAGAUGACUCACCGGAUUAGAAAUUUCGAUGAACAUGAUCAGCUUAAACUUGAUCUAAUUGACCAUGUGUGGCAAAAGUUUGGAAACGAGUGA